rnacentral:rRNA from 1 species
UACGUAGGGGGCAAGCGUUAUCCGGAAUCAUUGGGCGUAAAGAGCGUGUAGGCGGCCCGAUAAGUCCGCUGUGAAAGUCCAGGGCUCAACCCUGGGAUGCCGGUGGAUACUGUCGGGCUCGAGUCCGGAAGAGGAGUGUGGAAUUCCUGGUGUAGCGGUGAAAUGCGCAGAUAUCAGGAGGAACACCAAUGGCGAAGGCAGCACUCUGGGACGUGACUGACGCUGAGACGCGAAAGCGUGGGGAGCAAACAGG